rnacentral:pre_miRNA from 1 species
AGGACAAGGUAUUACAAAGGAGGAUGGAAGAAAGGACAAGAUAUUAUAAAGGGUUGUCCUGUCUUCCGUCCUCCUUUGUAAUACCUUGUCCUGUCUU